CAAAUUGGCGAGGGGCGCCGCGGUGGCGGCUGAGAAGCACCCUUUGAACCUGAUCCGGGUCGUGCCGGCGGAGGGAACGCCAAGGCAAGCGCGC
rnacentral:ncRNA from 2 species